UGGGGAAAUUUUGGACCAUGGGCGAAAGCCUGAAUCCAGCCAUGCCGCGUGUGUGAAGAAGGCCUACGGGUUGUAAAGCACUUUCGGACGGAACGAAAUCGCGCGGGCGAAUACCCCGCGUGGAUGACGGUACCGUAAGAAGAAGCACCGGCUAACUACGUGC
rnacentral:rRNA from 1 species